GGAAUAUUGGGCAAUGGGCGCAAGCCUGACCCAGCGACGCCGCGUGAGGGAUGAAGGCCUUCGGGUUGUAAACCUCUUUCAGUAGGGAAGAAGCGAAAGUGACGGUACCUAAAGAAGAAGCACCGGCUAACUAUGUGCCAGCAGCCGCGGUAAUACAUAGGGUGCAAGCGUUGUCCGGAAUUAUUGGGCGUAAAGAGCUCGUAGGUCGUUUGCCGCGUCGAUUGUGAAAAUCUGAGGCUCAACCUCAGACCUGCAGUCGAUACGGGCAAACUAGAGUGUGGUAGGGGAGACUGGAAUUCCUGGUGUAGCGGUGGAAUGCGCAGAUAUCAAGAGGAACACCAAUGGCGAAGGCAGGUCUCUGGGCCAUAACUGACACUGAGGAGCGAAAGCGCGGGGAGCGAACAGGAUUAGAUACCCUGGUAGUCCGCGCCGUAAACGAUGGGCACUAGCUGUGAGAGCCUUCCACGGUUCUCGCGACGCAGCAAACGCAUUAAGUGCCCCGCCUGGGGAGUACGAUCGCAAGAUUAAAACUCAAAGGAAUUGACGG
rnacentral:rRNA from 1 species